AGUGCCUGACCCCUGGCAAACAGACUGCAGCCCGAGCACCAGGUGUGCUGGGAGUGAGCUCACCAGGAGCAGGGUGGUGACAGUGGAAGGCUCUCCUGAGUGCCUCCCUGGCCUCAUUAGCACCUCACUCACUGCUGGGGCCCAGAGUACUAAGAUGGAAAAGCACCGCACAGAGGGAAGAAACUUGAGAGGAGAGAAGGGAGCCACCCAAGUUUGUGGCAGACUCUGAACUGGGCCAGGUCUCCUGACUUCUGAUGGA
rnacentral:lncRNA from 1 species